UACGGAGGGUGCAAGCGUUAUCCGGAUUCACUGGGUUUAAAGGGUGCGUAGGUGGGAAUGUAAGUCAGUGGUGAAAUCUCCGUGCUUAACAUGGAAACUGCCAUUGAUACUAUGUUUCUUGAAUUUUCUGGAGGUCAGCGGAAUAUGUCAUGUAGCGGUGAAAUGCUUAGAUAUGACAUAGAACACCAAUUGCGAAGGCAGCUGACUACAGGGACAUUGACACUGAGGCACGAAAGCGUGGGGAUCAA
rnacentral:rRNA from 1 species